GUGGAUUAGAUACCCUGGUAGUCCACGCCCUAAACGAUGGAUACUAGGCGUAAGAGGUAUCGACCCCUCUUGUGCCGCAGCUAACGCAUUAAGUAUCCCGCCUGGGGAGUACGGCCGCAAGGUUGAAACUCAAAUGAAUUGACGGGGACCCGCACAAGCGGUGGAGCAUGUGGAUUAAUUCGAUACUAACCGAAGAACCUUACCCAGACUUGACAUCGAUCGCAAGCCUCAGAAAUGGGGCCCUCUCCCACAAGGAGACGUGAAGACACUUGUUGCACGGCCGUCGACAACU
rnacentral:rRNA from 1 species